CCUGUUGUACGACCAGCAGUUGCCUACCUGGACAUGCGUGAUUGGUAACCAUCGGGUGUGAAUCUCUAGGGACAAUGCACCUCUCCGAAGGAUGGUCUCGAAAGUGAGAAAUUCCGAAGACCGAGUCCGCAACUGUAGGGCGAAGGC
rnacentral:ncRNA from 3 species